AACGAACGUUGGCGGCGUGGAUUAGGCAUGCAAGUCGAACGAAUCCCCAUGGGGGUAACUCUGUGGGGGGAAGUGGCGAAAGGGGCAGUAAGGCGUGGGUAACCUGCCUCGGGGACGGGGAUAGCCACCCUAACGGGUGGGUAAUACCCGGCGAUCUGUUUGGGGGGCAUCCCUCGGACAGGAAAUGAAUCUCGCCUCGAGAGGGGCUCACGUGGUAUUACCUAGUUGGCGGGGUAACGGCCCACCAAGGGAAAGAUGCCUAGCAGGUGUGAGAGCACGACCUGCGCCACUGGCACUGAGACACUGGCCAGACUCCUACGGGAGGCUGCAGUCGAGGAUCUUCGGCAAUGGGCGCAAGCCUGACCGAGCGACGCCGCGUGCGCGAUGAAGGCC
rnacentral:rRNA from 1 species